rnacentral:rRNA from 1 species
UACGUAGGGUCCGAGCGUUGUCCGGAAUUAUUGGGCGUAAAGGGCUCGUAGGCGGUCUGUUGCGUCGGGAGUGAAAACUUACAGCUUAACUGUGAGCGUGCUUUCGAUACGGGCAGACUUGAGGCAUUCAGGGGAGAACGGAAUUCCUGGUGUAGCGGUGAAAUGCGCAGAUAUCAGGAGGAACACCGGUGGCGAAGGCGGUUCUCUGGGAAUGUACUGACGCUGAGGAGCGAAAGUGUGGGGAGCGAACGGG